rnacentral:rRNA from 1 species
UAGGGAAUCUUCGCAAUGGACGAAAGUCUGACGGAGCAACGCCGCGUGAGCGAAGAAGGUCUUCGGAUCGUAAAGCUCUGUUGUUAGGGAAGAACAAGUAUCGUUCGAAUAGGGCGGUACCUUGACGGUACCUAACCAGAAAGCCACGGCUAACUACGUG